GAUGAACGCUGGCGGCGUGCCUAACACAUGCAAGUCGAACGGAGCUGCUUUGAUGAAGUUUUCGGAGGGAUUUAAAACAGCUUAGUGGCGGACGGGUGAGUAACGCGUGGGUAACCUGCCUCACACUGGGGGAUAACAGUUAGAAAUAGCUGCUAAUACCGCAUAAGCGCACGGUUCCGCAUGGAACGGUGCGAAAAACUCCGGGGGUGUGAGAUGGACCCGCGUCUGAUUAGCCAGUUGGCGGGGUAACGGCCGACCAAAGCGACGAUCAGUCGCCGGGCUGAGAGGGUGAACGGCCACAUUGGGACUGAGACACGGCCCAAACUCCUACGGGAGGCGGGAGUGGGGAAUAUUGCAGAAUGGGGGAAACCCUGAUGCGGCGACGCCGCGUGAGUGAAGUAGUAUUUCGGUAUGUAAAGCUCUAUCAGCAGGGAAGAAAGUGACGGUACCUGAAUAAGAAGCCCCGGCUAACUACGUGCCAGCCGCCGCAGUAA
rnacentral:rRNA from 1 species